GGGGGGUCCUACAAGGAGUAAAUUUCUGUCAGCAAAUUGAAAGGCCACUCAGAGUUCACAGUAGCAAUUCAUAUUUUUAACUGGUUGCCCAGACCUAAAUCUUCACCUCCACAAAUUCCAGAGAGACCUUAGUAGCUGUGAAAGAAGGAACAGUGAUGAAGUCGGAAGGGGUGGGGACAGGAGGGUGACAAGGUAAGAAGACAGCAGCUGAGUUCUGCAUCUUCAAGGGGCUCAGUGCCAACAGCUCAAGAGGAAGGGCCCGCACUUUGGGGGUGGAGUCAUAUAGAAGCUUCUAGAUACUUGAAACAUCACUCCCAGAAACGAAACUGGCUUAGAAGAAGCCUCAUGCUACAUUCUGAAGUCAUCUGAACAUAGAGGCUUGACUCUGCAUGAAGGAAAGCAAGUACAAAGUUCACUUCUGCUUUCUGCAGAGGGUCAGAAGAGGAAGUCACAGAUGAACAGCUGCUGAUUAUAGCCCUGGCUGGUCUUGAACACCUGAUCCUUCAGUCUGAAGUCUCCCAAGCUGGGAUUUACUAAGGGCACAAGGACCUACUCCUGUCUCCAAAUGCAGUAUUAAAAGGACUACUGAUGCUGAGAACUUCACCAUGCUUACUGGCCAUCUGAACAGUCUUUGAAGGAAUGACAGGCUUCAAGGAAUACUCAGCUGGACAACAGAAGGAACUGAAUUCUGUCAGCACCUCAAAUGAGUGAGGUGACAGAUGUUUCCAAGAGCCUCUAGAGGGAAUGCAAGCCUUGACAAGACCUCGAUGCUAGUCCUAUGGCAUUCACAUUGGACUUCUUAUGACCUAUGGAACUGUAAGAGCGUAGACCCGUGUUGCUUGAGCCACUAUUUUGUGGAAAUCCACGACAGAAGCAAAUAGAAAACUAAUACAAUAAAGUCCUCUUUCUUGCUCAUGUCAUUAACUCUAGUGUCUGGUCAAGAAGGAUGUAUAUCCACGAGUAGGGAGAAUAGUGCUGAGUUAAGCUGGGUGUGAAUCUUCCCUAUGUCACAUACUAGCUGAAGACUGAACAAACAAUCUUUUAGAGCCCUCUUCCCUCAAGAAAUGGCUAUAAUGGUAAUGAAUGGAGAAUGAGAGACCACAAUAAUGCCUGGCAUAGAGUGGAGUUUCAUUAAGUGAUUUGUUAAUAUAAUAUAAAUUAAAGUUAACAUUGAUGUAUUUUAGGUAUGAAAAGAAGCACCAUAGUCAAAUACAGCAUCACAGAACCAACAACAAAACACCCAGAUAAAUUAGAUUUCAUAAAAAUAAAAAAAAAUUAGAUGCUAUCAAACUUAAAGACAAUUUAUGUGACAGGAAAUAAUAUCUGCAGAUCAUAUAACUUAUAAGGGUACUGUCCAGAAUAUAUAAAGAUACCUUAAAGCCAACAACAAAGACAGGUAACACAAAGUAAAAACUGAUCCAAGGGUCAUAUAGACAUUUUUUAGAGAUGGUAUGUUUGAAUACUUAGUCCCCCAUUUGGUAGAACUCUUUGGGGAGGAUUAGAUGUGACCUUAUUGGAGGAGGUGUGUCAUUGGGGGUGGGCUCAGAUGUUUCAAAAGUCCACAUCAUUCCCAUUUAGCUUUCUCCAUCUCAUGGCUGUGUUUUAGGAUGUAAGCUCUCAGCUACUGGUCCAGGGCCAUCCAUGCCUGCCUGCCUGUUGUCAUGUUCCCUAUCAUGGGAUGGUCAUGGACUCACCCUCUGAAACUGGAAGCUCCAAUAAAUUCUUUCUCCUUUAA